rnacentral:rRNA from 1 species
UACGAAGGGGGCUAGCGUUGCUCGGAAUCACUGGGCGUAAAGCGCACGUAGGCGGACUCUUAAGUCGGUGGUGAAAUCCCUCGGCUUAACCGGGGAACUGCGUCCGAUACUGGAUGGCUUGAGUUCGGGAGAGGGAUGCGGAAUUCCAGGUGUAGCGGUGAAAUGCGUAGAUAUCUGGAGGAACACCGGUGGCGAAGGCGGCAUCCUGGACCGACACUGACGCUGAGGAGCGAAAGCCAGGGGAGCAAACGGG